UCAUAAACCUGAUUGCAAUGAAAAGCCCGGAGCGUAGCGAGGACUUGUAAUGGAAAGCAGGACUUAAA
rnacentral:sRNA from 1 species